GAUGAACGCUGGCGGCGUGCCUAAUACAUGCAAGUCGAGCGAACAGAUGAGGAGCUUGCUCCUCUGACGUUAGCGGCGGACGGGUGAGUAACACGUGGAUAACCUACCUAUAAGGCUGGGAUAACUUCGGGAAACCGGAGCUAAUACCGGAUAAUAUAUUGAACCGCAUGGUUCAAUAGUGAAAGACGGUUUUGCUGUCACUUAUAGAUGGAUCCGCGCCGCAUUAGCUAGUUGGUAAGGUAACGGCUUACCAAGGCAACGAUGCGUAGCCGACCUGAGAGGGUGAUCGGCCACACUGGAACUGAGACACGGUCCAGACUCCUACGGGAGGCAGCAGUAGGGAAUCUUCCGCAAUGGGCGAAAGCCCGACGGAGCAACGCCGCGUGAGUGAUGAAGGUCUUCGGAUCGUAAAACUCUGUUAUUAGGGAAGAACAAAUGUGUAAGUAACUAUGCACGUCUUGACGGUACCUAAUCAGAAAGCCACGGCUAACUACGUG
rnacentral:rRNA from 1 species